rnacentral:tRNA from 1 species
CCUGGUGGCUCAGACGGUAAAGCGUCUGCCUACAAUGCAGGAGACCCAGGUUCGAUCCCUGGGUCAGGA